rnacentral:rRNA from 1 species
CAAACUGGAGAUGGCGACCGGCGCACGGGUGAGUAACACGUAUCCAACCUGCCGAUAACUCGGGGAUAGCCUUUCGAAAGAAAGAUUAAUACCCGAUGGCAUAGUUCUUCCGCAUGGUAGAACUAUUAAAGAAUUUCGGUCAUCGAUGGGGAUGCGUUCCAUUAGGUUGUUGGCGGGGUAACGGCCCACCAAGCCUUCGAUGGAUAGGGGUUCUGAGAGGAAGGUCCCCCACAUUGGAACUGAGACACGGUCCAAACUCCUACGGGAGGCAGCCAUG